GCAACGGAUAUCUCGGCUCACGCAUCGAUGAAGAACGUAGCAAAAUGCGAUACUUGGUGUGAAUUGCAGAAUCCCGUGAACCAUCGAGUUUUUGAACGCAAGUUGCGCCCGAAGCCAUUCGGCCGAGGGCACGCCUGCCUGGGYGUCACGCAUCGCGUCGCU
rnacentral:rRNA from 2 species